UUUGGGAACACAAUCUCACAUUUUCAAUCAUCUAGACCUGGCCACCCUUGGUCAGCCUCUCUAGGCUUUUUGCUGAUCUGCAGUAGUCGGUCAGUGAGAAGCAGGGUACUUCAGGAAAUCUUUUUAAAGAAUCAUUUGAACUAUUUCUAAUG